rnacentral:rRNA from 1 species
UAAUACGUAGGUGGCAAGCGUUGUCCGGAUUUACUGGGCGUAAAGGGCGUGCAGGCGGUCUGUUAAGUCUCGGGUGAAAGCUCCCGGCUCAACUGGGAGAGGUCCUUGGAUACUGGCAGACUUGAGGAGAGUAGAGGAGAGUGGAAUUCCCGGUGUAGUGGUGAUAUGCGGAGAUAUCGGGAGGAACACCAGUGGCGAAGGCGGCUCUCUGGGCUCUACCUGACGCUGAGACGCG